rnacentral:rRNA from 1 species
AUUGAACGCUGGCGGCAUGCCUUACACAUGCAAGUCGAACGGCAGCACGGGUGCUUGCACCUGGUCGAGUGGCGAACGGGUGAGUAAUACAUCGGAACAUGUCCUGUAGUGGGGGAUAGCCCGGCGAAAGCCGGAUUAAUACCGCAUACGAUCUACGGAUGAAAGCGGGGGACCUUCGGGCCUCGCGCUAUAGGGUUGGCCGAUAGCUGAUUAGCUAGUUGGUGGGGUAAAGGCCUACCAAGGCGACGAUCAGUAGCUGGUCUGAGAGGACGACCAGCCACACUGGGACUGAGACACGGCCCAGACUCCUACGGGAGGCAGCAGUGGGGAAUUUUGGACAAUGGGCGAAAGCCUGAUCCAGCAAUGCCGCGUGUGUGAAGAAGGCCUUCGGGUUGUAAAGCACUUUUGUCCGGAAAGAAAUCCUUGGCUCUAAUACAGUCGGGGGAUGACGGUACCGGAAGAAUAAGCACCGGCUAACUACGUG